UCCCCUACGGGGCGCAGCAGUAGGGAAUAUUGCUCAAUGGGGGAAACCCUGAAGCAGCAACGCCGCGUGGAGGAUGAAGGUUUUCGGAUUGUAAACUCCUUUUGUUAGAGAAGAUAAUGACGGUAUCUAACGAAUAAGCACCGACUAACUACGUGCCAGCAGCCGCGGUAAUACGUAGGGAGCGAGCGUUAUCCGGAUUUAUUGGGUGUAAAGGGUGCGUAGACGGGUAUACAAGUUGGUUGUGAAAUCCCUCGGCUUAACUGAGGAACUGCAACCAAAACUGUAUAUCUUGAGUACAGGAGAGG
rnacentral:rRNA from 1 species